CAGAAACCCUUCCUUCCUAUAAUGACCAAUGACACCCCAUUCCACGCCUCGAUGGGGGGAGGGCACCCCACGCCCCGAGGGUCCCCGGCAGGGCCGCCCCUCCCCACCUCGCGGGCCGCUGUGUGUAGCAUUUAUUUAAAGGAAAUCAUGCCGCCAUCCGUGCUUCAGCGCUGUCCUCUCUGCACAGCUGAGUAUCGGCAAAUCCCUUCUCUGUCGGGCAUUCCACAAACAAUUACACCCAGACACAGAGAAAAAAA